GCAUCAGUGGUGUAGUGGUACACGCAUCGAAUAUGUCCGGAAUAACAAAUGUAUUUUCCAUGAGUUCUGGGUUCGACUCCCGGCUAGUGCA